GGGUUGUGAGGUUAAGCGACUAAGCGUACACGGUGGAUGCCCUGGCAGUCAGAGGCGAUGAAGGGCGUGCUAAUCUGCGAUAAGCGCCGGUAAGGUGAUAUGAACCGUUAUAACCGGCGAUACCCGAAUGGGGAAACCCAGUGUGACUCGUCACACUAUCAUUAACUGAAUCCAUAGGUUAAUGAGGCGAACCGGGGGAACUGAAACAUCUAAGUACCCCGAGGAAAAGAAAUCAACCGAGAUUCCCCCAGUAGCGGCGAGCGAACGGGGAGGAGCCCAGAGCCUGAAUCAGCAUGUGUGUUAGUGGAAGCGUCUGGAAAGGCGCGCGAUACAGGGUGACAGCCCCGUACACAAAAGCGCAUGUGCUGUGAGCUCGAUGAGUAGGGCGGGACACGUGGUAUCCUGUCUGAAUAUGGGGGGACCAUCCUCCAAGGCUAAAUACUCCUGACUGACCGAUAGUGAACCAGUACCGUGAGGGAAAGGCGAAAAGAACCCCGGCGAGGGGAGUGAAAAAGAACCUGAAACCGUGGGCGUUAAGUUGCAGGGUAUAGACCCGAAACCCGGUGAUCUAGCCAUGGGCAGGUUGAAGGUUGGGUAACACUAACUGGAGGACCGAACCGACUAAUGUUGAAAAAUUAGCGGAUGACCUGUGGCUGGGGGUGAAAGGCCAAUCAAACCGGGAGAUAGCUGGUUCUCCCCGAAAGCUAUUUAGGUAGCGCCUCGUGAAUUCAUCUCCGGGGGUAGAGCACUGUUUCGGCUAGGGGGCCAUCCCGGCUUACCAACCCGAUGCAAACUGCGAAUACCGGAGAAUGUUAUCACGGGAGACACACGGCGGGUGCUAACGUCCGUCGUGAAGAGGGAAACAACCCAGACCGCCAGCUAAGGUCCCAAAGUCAUGGUUAAGUGGGAAACGAUGUGGGAAGGCCCAGACAGCCAGGAUGUUGGCUUAGAAGCAGCCAUCAUUUAAAGAAAGCGUAAUAGCUCACUGGUCGAGUCGGCCUGCGCGGAAGAUGUAACGGGGCUAAACCAUGCACCGAAGCUGCGGCAGCGACACUGUGUGUUGUUGGGUAGGGGAGCGUUCUGUAAGCCUGUGAAGGUGUGUCGUGAGGCAUGCUGGAGGUAUCAGAAGUGCGAAUGCUGACAUAAGUAACGAUAAAGCGGGUGAAAAGCCCGCUCGCCGGAAGACCAAGGGUUCCUGUCCAACGUUAAUCGGGGCAGGGUGAGUCGACCCCUAAGGCGAGGCCGAAAGGCGUAGUCGAUGGGAAACGGGUUAAUAUUCCCGUACUUGGUGUUACUGCGAAGGGGGGACGGAGAAGGCUAUGUUGGCCGGGCGACGGUUGUCCCGGUUUAAGCGUGUAGGUGUGUGUUCCAGGUAAAUCCGGUUCACUUUAACACUGAGGCGUGACGACGAGGCACUACGGUGCUGAAGCAACAAAUGCCCUGCUUCCAGGAAAAGCCUCUAAGCAUCAGGUAACAUCAAAUCGUACCCCAAACCGACACAGGUGGUCAGGUAGAGAAUACCAAGGCGCUUGAGAGAACUCGGGUGAAGGAACUAGGCAAAAUGGUGCCGUAACUUCGGGAGAAGGCACGCUGACACGUAGGUGAAGUGAUUUACUCAUGGAGCUGAAGUCAGUCGAAGAUACCAGCUGGCUGCAACUGUUUAUUAAAAACACAGCACUGUGCAAACACGAAAGUGGACGUAUACGGUGUGACGCCUGCCCGGUGCCGGAAGGUUAAUUGAUGGGGUCAGCGCAAGCGAAGCUCCUGAUCGAAGCCCCGGUAAACGGCGGCCGUAACUAUAACGGUCCUAAGGUAGCGAAAUUCCUUGUCGGGUAAGUUCCGACCUGCACGAAUGGCGUAAUGAUGGCCAGGCUGUCUCCACCCGAGACUCAGUGAAAUUGAACUCGCUGUGAAGAUGCAGUGUACCCGCGGCAAGACGGAAAGACCCCGUGAACCUUUACUAUAGCUUGACACUGAACAUUGAGCCUUGAUGUGUAGGAUAGGUGGGAGGCUUUGAAGUGUGGACGCCAGUCUGCAUGGAGCCGACCUUGAAAUACCACCCUUUAAUGUUUGAUGUUCUAACGUGGACCCGUUACCCGGGUUGCGGACAGUGUCUGGUGGGUAGUUUGACUGGGGCGGUCUCCUCCUAAAGAGUAACGGAGGAGCACGAAGGUUGGCUAAUCCUGGUCGGACAUCAGGAGGUUAGUGCAAUGGCAUAAGCCAGCUUGACUGCGAGCGUGACGGCGCGAGCAGGUGCGAAAGCAGGUCAUAGUGAUCCGGUGGUUCUGAAUGGAAGGGCCAUCGCUCAACGGAUAAAAGGUACUCCGGGGAUAACAGGCUGAUACCGCCCAAGAGUUCAUAUCGACGGCGGUGUUUGGCACCUCGAUGUCGGCUCAUCACAUCCUGGGGCUGAAGUAGGUCCCAAGGGUAUGGCUGUUCGCCAUUUAAAGUGGUACGCGAGCUGGGUUUAGAACGUCGUGAGACAGUUCGGUCCCUAUCUGCCGUGGGCGCUGGAGAACUGAGGGGGGCUGCUCCUAGUACGAGAGGACCGGAGUGGACGCAUCACUGGUGUUCGGGUUGUCAUGCCAAUGGCACUGCCCGGUAGCUAAAUGCGGAAGAGAUAAGUGCUGAAAGCAUCUAAGCACGAAACUUGCCCCGAGAUGAGUUCUCCCUGAGACUUWARGUCUCCUGAAGGAACGUUGAAGACGACGACGUUGAUAGGCCGGGUGUGUAAGCGCAGCGAUGCGUUGAGCUAACCGGUACUAAUGAACCGUGAGGCUUAACCUUACAACGCCGAAG
rnacentral:rRNA from 1 species